rnacentral:rRNA from 1 species
GACGUAGGGCGCGAGCGUUGUCCGGAAUCAUUGGGCGUAAAGAGCGUGUAGGCGGUCCGGUAAGUCGGCUGUGAAAGUCCAGGGCUCAACCCUGGGAUGCCGGUCGAUACUGCCGGACUAGAGUUCGGAAGAGGCGAGUGGAAUUCCCGGUGUAGCGGUGAAAUGCGCAGAUAUCGGGAGGAACACCUAUGGCGAAGGCAGCUCGCUGGGACGUUACUGACGCUGAGACGCGAAAGCGUGGGGAGCAAACAGG